AACCUUAUGGACCUGCGGGCGUAUACCUGCGGAGGGAUCAUUACCGAGUUUACAACUCCCAAACCCCUGUGAACAUACCUAUACGUUGCCUCGGCGGAUCAGCCCGCGCCCCGUAAAAAGGGACGGCCCGCCCGAGGACCCCUAAACUCUGUUUUUAGUGGAACUUCUGAGUAAAACAAACAAAUAAAUCAAAACUUUCAGCAAUGGAUCU
rnacentral:misc_RNA from 1 species